GUAAUCUAGUUGGGAUCACUUAAGCUUCAAGAACAACUAUGCUUGCACAUAGUUAUCAAACGAGUAAUGGUCAUAUGGUCAUAUAUAUAUGUGCAAAUCGCUAUGCAUAACUCCUCAAAGAUACACAGAAUGUAUCGUAAAAUGCUACAAAGUACGAUACUUAAGCAAAAUAAAACAUGAAAUAAAGUAAAACAAUCACAGAAUAAUGUUACGAUUUUCGGUACAAGCUAUACUGAGCUGAUUAUUAUAAGGGAAAGUGUUGUCUGUCGUAUUCACUUGGAUACGGUUGAACCAUGUAAACAAUACUCUUUGUGUGUAAAAUUUGGGAUAUUUUCUGUGUUUGAAGAGUUCUCGCUGUGCGCUGGUCGGCCAUCUUGAAAAAUAAAUUGUGAAGGUCGUAUUUCCAGCUUUCCUGCGAGACGGCAGUUCAGAUGCAGUCGUCCUGUGUGUCAGAAAGCUGGUGAUCAAAAUGGUUGAAGGCAGUACCCAAGAAAGUACAUUUACAAAGUUGUGAGGAGUAACCUAGCCUAUAUAACCUGAAGCUCACCCAAUAUGCAGUGUGUUCUGCUUUGUCAAUAACAACUCUGUAUGGCUGGUCUGACCUCAGUGGAAGUUGUUCGUUUAAAUGGUUUCGGGACAUUGAAGUAAAACAACACGAGAAUGUCCCACCAAGAGUGAAGGGCUGCCUGUUUGCUUCAGAUUCCCAGUCCUCCUCGCUGAUGAUUUCUGAAGUCCUUACGCAGUCACCCCAGUCUUCAACCUCAGUUUGUACAGAUGAGAUGCCAUACACAGGGGAUCCGACAGAAGACAGCAGACAGAAUUCGUCGAUUUAUUUGAAAUGUCAUUGUUUAUUUGAAAAAAGAUACCUAUCCACA